CUAAGGAUAUCCUGGACCCCUCGCUCAUUGAUGAUUUCCUCUGGUCUCGCCAGCAUUUCCCCGCUGGAGCGCCAGGAGGCACUCUUUGAGGGGAGGGUACUGUCAUGGUCUUGUCAUGAUCCUGUCUCUAUCUCUCUCUUUCUCUCUCUCUGUCUCCCCCUGCUGGUUUCUCCCCUCCCGUCUCCCUCGCUCUUCGUUUCUGUGUCACAGCUGUCUUCACUUCUUAUUAAGAUAAUUUCCCCUCCACCUGUUUCUCAUCCUGCCUCAUUAUUAUGGCUACUUCUACCCUCUCGUUCUCUUGUCUCUUUGUCAGAUUGUUGUCUCCGAAUGAAGCAUUUGUCAUUGGCGUCUUCACAUCCAGUUGGUCUUGUCCUGUCUUGUCCUGUCUCGUCGGGGUUUGGUUAGUUGACCACAAUCACUGCCGGAAUUACUCUGUGCUCACCAUUUACACCCCACAGAACCUUACCUGCUGUCUAACACCGCGGCUUCCCCGCUCUGCAAGCUCCGGUCUCCAGUUCUCCCCUGAGCCCAGUCAAGCCUCCGCCUCGCCAGCCUGCUGGUCGUUCCUGCCACAGAGGUCUGCUGAGUUAAUUGUACUACCCAGCCUACGGGUCAGAACCACCCGGACAGAAACAACUGCGUGUCAAAUGGUGCCCGGACACCGGAUCCUCUUCUUUGUAUAAGACUGUAAAGGGGUGCAAGCAAGGUAAUGAUGCCUCAGAUUUUAAAUUGAAAGGCAUUUAUAGAAUAUCAUAAUGGGUACAGGAACUAUGAAAGCAUCUCAUCUUAAUUGUCAAGAAUAUAAAAUAGGAUAUUUUGAACAAUCGCAUUUAUUCAUUUAACAGACCUUUUCAAUGUUUCAAUGUUUCAGCUGUUUUUGU
rnacentral:lncRNA from 1 species